CUAGUACUCCCUCUGUUCGGAAUUACUUGUCGCAAAAAUGGAUAUAUCUAGACGUAAUUUAGUUCUAGAUACAUCCAUUUUCGAGACAAGUAAUUCCGAACGGAGGGAGUAGUAC
rfam:Triticum aestivum genome assembly, contig: Triticum_aestivum_CS42_TGACv1_scaffold_030985_1BL